rnacentral:tRNA from 1 species
GAGCCCGUGGCUCAAUGGUUAGAGCUUUGGGCUCCUAACCAACAGAUCGCGGGUUCG